rnacentral:tRNA from 1 species
GGUUCAAUGGUCUAAUGGUUAUGAUUUCUGUCUCACAUCGGUGUUCACAGAAGGUUCCCGGUUCGAUCCCGGGUUGAACCA